GUCUGACGGAGCACGCCGCGUGAGUGAUGAAGGCUUUCGGGUCGUAAAACUCUGUUGUUAGGGAAGAACAAGUGCUAGUUGAAUAAGCUGGCACCUUGACGGUACCUAACCAGAAAGCCACGGCUAACUACGUGC
rnacentral:rRNA from 1 species